ensembl:lncRNA
UUUCACAGUGUUAAUGCCGCGUUUAAAACAACUGGGAACUCGUGACGUCAGUGAUCUUCAGGUCGGAAAGUCGAAGCUCUAGAAAGAGACCCGAGUUGGAAUUCCGAGCGGGUUGACCGUUCAAAUCGACUAUUCCCAGUCGGAGCUCGUUUUUUUCCGAUUUCACAGUUGUUUUGAACCCACUAAAGUCGGAGGUCGGAGAUUUCCUAGUUCCCAGUUACGAGUUCCCAGUAGAUUUGAACGCGGCAUAAAUACGAGAGGAAUUUCUGCCGCGCUGUCUGUCAUUCGCAGUCUCACCACGCCCGCGCGUUCAUUUCACUACGCUCAGACUACCCUUUUAGUUCUACCAUCUCCGGUCACUGGGUGAAGCUCCUCCCGGCAAAUAGAGAGAGACACUGUUAUGAGGAGAAAAACAGCAAAAUAAUCACCUGGAUUCUUUCAUAUCGAGACUACCCUUUUAGUUCUACCAUCUCCGGUCACUGGGUGAAGCUCCUCCCGGCAAAUAGAGAGAGACACUGUUAUGAGGAGAAAAACAGCAAAAUAAUCACCUGGAUUCUUUCAUAUCGAGGUAUGUAGCCGAACUAUAUCUUCUGCAUGCACAAUAACAAGUGUGUGUGAUGGCCAUGUUCACAGCUCAACAUUAUGUUCCAUUGUGUUUUUUAGUUUACUCAGCCUGUUUCUUCGCAACAUAGGGAAUUUACAUUCUUUGUAUGUUUUACUUCAAUGGCCUUGUUCAGUGAUGUUUGUUUGGAAUUUGCUUUGGAGAUUCUUGUCAUAUUUAUUGCAUCGUGAUCCAUGGUGUCUGGGCGCUUGCGUGCGAGCCUCCCUGUCUCAUGUAAGGUGGGUUGUGCGUGUGUGCAUAUUGUUUUGAGUCAGACUCGUUAUCUCCCCGGUCACACAGCGAACCGCACUAUAGGCGUUAAAUACCCUGUGCAGUCAAAAACGUGACAAUCCUGUGUUUUAUGUACAUUUUGAAGAGUUUCAUUCCAAAACUAUAUAUAUAUCCAUGUUCAGAAAUGUUGUUUAAAUAAAUUAUUGUUUUUUCACUAUCUAAUCGUGGCAUGGGGUUGUUCAAUUGCAGACAUGUAUUUGUUUAAAAUCUAUGUUAUUGUUUAACUUUUUAUUAUUUGGUAAAUAUUUUCUUAAUUCUUCUUGAACUACACUGUUGGUUAAGGGCAUUUCACUGUAAGGUCUACACUUGUUGUAUUCUGCGCAUGUGACAAAUCCAAUUUGUAAAUCGCUCUGGAUAAGAGCGUCUGCUAAAUGACUUAAAUGUAAAUGUAAUUAAGUUUGAUCUGAAAUGUGGCCUGUCCUCGAGGGCCCUCACAGUGUUCUAUAGGGGCACCAUCGAGAGCAUAUUGUCGAGCUGCAUCACAACCUGGUACCCUGCCUCCACCCCAAUGGACAUUUAUCAUUGUUACAGUUGUAAAUAUUUAUAAAUGAUUUCCUGCUGCCCCUGUCCUGCGGACUUCCUACCCCUGCUAUAAUUCACAGUGUAAAGCUCCUCCCAGCAAAUAGAGGCAGGCACUGUUAUGAGGACAAAAAUAUAUAUUUUUUUCAUUAUCUAAUCAUUGCAUGGGGUUGUUCAAUGACAGACAUGUAUUUGUUUAAAAUCUAUCACUUGAUGGUUUCAUUUCAGAGACAAAAUAAUCGUAUGUUUUUUUUCCAGCAAAAUGCUAUAGUCUACAUACAUCCGCCAUCCUCUCAGAGAAAUCAGUAGCACUGCUAGGUUUUACACAGUCAAAUGUAACAAAUAACUACAUUUUUUAUAAAGAACUAUACAAAUGAUACAUUUGUGACAUUAAUGUUUAAAAUUUUUUUACAGAAAUAAUUCAAUACAGUAAUAUGAGAUCUGCAUGCAAAACAUUUACAUUUGACAUUUUAUUCAUUUAGCAGAUGCUCUUAUCCAUAACGACUUACAGUAAGUGGAUUAACCUUAAAAUAGAUACUUGAGAUACCCACAUAUCACCGUCAAAUAUACAGGAUAUGAACAUUCCAUUUCAGUAAAACAAUUAAUAAAUAGCGUUUUUCAUACACAUCUAUGAACUAUUAAUCUGAGAACAAUAAUAUAACAAACACACAUGAAGGUACCCAUAAUCAAGAAUUUCUGAUGAAAAAACAAAUGUGAAAAAUUGGUGGAUCUAGCAUUUUGGGAAUAAACUCUUAAUUUCCACACUAUGGGGUUGGAAUAAUACUGUGAAAAUUAUAAUAAUGCCCUUUUUAGUGUAAUAGCUAUUUGAAAAGACAGGUUGACAUUUCAGACUGUUUUGGUGGGAUGGAGUUUUGGCCUGCUUCGUGACAUAACCAGGCGGCAAAUUAGUUUAUAGACCAAUAAGAAAGGUCUAUUAACUAAUUUUUCCCUCCCUCCCCGUUGUCUUCAAACCUCUCUGCCAAUAACAGCUAGUUUUCAGUUUUACCCUCCCCACUCCGACCACUCCAAGACAGUCCUAGCAAAAUUCUUGCUUGAGAAAUGUCUCUUUGCUAAGAAGCUAUUUAUUUUAAAUUUUUAAAAUUUUCAUUGAAAACAAUAACAGUAAGAUACUUAAUUGUUACCCAGAAAUGAUUUGACAUUGAGAUAAAAACAUCUGCAUUGGACCUUUUAAAGAAAAUAUUAAAUAGUAGACUUCCUUCAUUCCUAGAAAUCUGCUUGAUGUGGUUCUGGUUCAUCAUUGUUUGUUAGAUUUUUGUUGUUGUUGCUUAAAUUCCAUUGUCUCACUCCCAAAGGAAAAGCAUCACUCUCUGUAGAUCAUACAGCCCCAUGUGAACUGCCAGUUCUCUGCAGAGACGGCCACUACUCACUGUAGUGUUCUAUGGAUCCUCAACAGUUUGAGGCCAUUCAACCUCUAUGUGAUCGGGACGGUUGAGCUAACGUGCGUUAAUGUGAUUAGCAUGAUGUUUUAAGUAAAAAGAAUAUUUCCCAGGACAUAGACAUAUCUGAAAUGGGCAGAAAGCUUAAAUUCUUGUUAAUCUAACUGCACUGUCCAGUUUACAGUAGCUAUUACAGUGAAAGAAUACCAUGCUAUUGUUUGAGGAGAGUGCACAGUUUUGAACUUAAAUGUAUUAAUAAACCAAUUAGGCACAUUUGGGCAGUCUUGAUGAUACAACAUUUUGAACAAAAAUGCAAUGGUUCAUUGAAUCAGUCUAAAACGUUGCACAUACACUGCUCCCAUCUAGUGGCCAAAAUUUAAAUUGCAACUAGAUUCCUAAGUCAUAUAUUUUCCUUUCUCUUGUAUUUCAAAGAUGAUGAAAAAACGCAUGUUUAUUUCUUUGUAUUAUCUUUUACCAGAUCUAAUGUGUUAUAUUCUCCUACAUUAAUUUCACAUUUCCACAAACUUCAAAAGUGUUUCCUUUCAAAUGGUAUCAAGAAUAUGCAUAUCCUUGCUUCAGGUCCUGAGCUACAGGCAGUUAUAUUUGGGUAUGUCAUUUUAGAAGAAAAUGGGGAAAAAAGGGUCUGAUCCUUAUUAAACGGUUAUGCUUGUUUCCUAGUUUUUAUAUAUCAUGCCGGAGAGACGCUCGAGAAUAGGCUAUACGUCAUAAUAAAUCAUUUAUUUAAAAACAAAAACAUAUUAUAAAUUGCAUGCUAUGGGCUACAGGCCUGUUGUGGAAUGGUCGACGUAGCCUAAUCAUAGAUAUGCUCAGUUUCUUUAUAACAACUCUGUAAUCAUUUCAAGUGACUAUGAUUAAAUUGCUCACCUUCGGUUUAGUGUGGCAAUGAUUCAAAUAAAGUUUCAGAGAUUGUUUGAUGGUUAGGCUACACAAAGGUAUAAAACUAUUAUAGCCUAUCACAGAGCCAUAUUGCCAGACGAUCACGAAAUGUGAAGCAUCGAAUUCCACGCUGCGACUCCCACACUUCUGAAGCGUGCAAAUUCCAGAGGAUGUGGGUAGCGCGUGUAUUUUUCCACGGUGGCUGUGCUGUGUGUGGGAGAGGACCGUAAGCAUUACAACAACAGGAAGGGUUGUACAAUAAAGUUUGUUCUGAGACAGGACGGGGGUGGGGUGACCGGCCACGUUGUGUAACCUUUCUUUAACUAGGCAAAUCAGAACAAAUUCUUAUUUACAAUGACGGCCUACACCGGGCAAACCCGGACGACGCUGGGCCAAUUGUGCGCCGCCCUAUGGGACUCCCAAUCACGGCCGGUUGUGAUUCGGGAGCCCACGUUACCUUGGUAACUCCAUGGACCCCUAAGUGUCUCAGAGUAGGAAUGCUGUGGAUCUAGGAUCAGUUUAGAGAGGGGUGUCAUUAUUUCAGUUUUACGAUUUGACUUUAAUUAACAUUCCAAAUUGUAAAGGUAAAGCCGCACAUAGCCUACAUUAUUUAUCACUAUUUGAGCUCAGUUGAUUUGCAUUAUUUGCUCUCAUCUCUAAAUCCGACAAAAAAUCUGAACUCAUCAUGAGGGGCCGCAGUUUCCCGCAACUUUUUUUGGAAAUGUAUCUGAGGGCCUCCAGUUUCCCAUCACUGCACUAGAAGAACUGCUUCUGACUCAUAUCGAU